rnacentral:misc_RNA from 1 species
CUGAAGUGAUUUGGGGAUGUUGCUGGCCCCUCCCCAGGGGGCAAUGUGCACUCCCUGAACAAUUCACAAUCUCCAUCACACCCUUGUGCACAUUUUGUAGGCACCCUCUCUUGGUUGGGAUGUGGUGUCCUAUGUAUUCUAUCACCUCACACUUUGCCCUUUAAUGUCAGCCUGAAUCUAAAAUAUAGUCUA